ACACAUGCAAGACGAACGAAGAAAGAAGCUUGCUUCUUACUUAGUGGCGGACGGGUGAGUAACACGUGAGCAACCUGCCUUAAAGAGGGGGACAACAGUUGGAAACGACUGCUAAUACCGCAUAAUGUGCGCUGGAAGCAUUUCCUAUGCACCAAAGGAGCAAUCCGCUUUAAGAUGGGCUCGCGCCUGAUUAGCUUGUUGGUGGGGUAAUGGCCUACCAAGGCUGCGAUGGGUAGCUGGUCUGAGAGGACGAUCACCCACACUGGAACUGAGACACGGUCCACACUCCUACGGGAGGCAGCAGUGGGGAAUAUUGCACGAUGGGCGAAAGCCUGAUGCAGCGACGCCGCGUGGAGGAUGAAGGCCUUCGGGUCGUAAACUCCUGUCUGGGGGGAUGAAUUUUUGACAGUACCCCCGGAGGAAGCCCCGGCUAACUACGUGCCAGCAGCCGCGGUAAUACGUAGGGGGCAAGCGUUGUCCGGAAUUACUGGGCGUAAAGCGCGCGUAGGUGGCUUGUUAAGUCAGGUGUCAAAAUGCGGAGCUCAACUCCGCAGCGCACUUGAAACUGGCAGGCUUGAGUGCAGGAGAGGAAAGUGGAAUUCCUAGUGUAGCGGUGAAAUGCGUAGAUAUUAGGAGGAACACCAGUGGCGAAGGCGACUUUCUGGACUGCAACUGACACUGAGGCGCGAAAGCUAGGGGAGCAAAAAAGAUUAGAUACCCUGGUAGUCCUAGCCGUAAACGAUGGGUACUAGGUGUUGGGGGUGACAAUCCUCCAGUGCCGCAGUUAACGCAUUAAGUACCCCGCCUGGGGACUACGGCCGCAAGGCUGAAACUCAAAGGAAUUGACGGGGGCCCGCACAAGCAGCGGAGCAUGUGGUUUAAUUCGAUGCAACGCGAAAAACCUUACCAGGGCUUGACAUCUCCUGCAGGCUCAAGAGAUUGAGCUGUCCCUUCGGGGCAGGAAGACAGGUGGUGCAUGGUUGUCGUCAGCUCGUGUCGUGAGAUGUUCGGUUAAGUCCGGCAACGAGCGCAACCCCUGUGGCCAGUUGCCAUCAUUAAGUUGGGCACUCUGGCAAGACCGCCGUUAACAAAACGGAGGAAGGUGGGGAUGACGUCAAAUCAUCAUGCCCCUUAUGUCCUGGGCUUCACACGUACUACAAUGGUAGCAACAGAGGGCAGCCACACCGCGAGGUGGAGCGAAUCCCAAAAUGUUAUCUCAGUUCGGAUUGCAGGCUGAAACUCGCCUGCAUGAAGCAGGAAUUGCUAGUAAUGGCAGGUCAGCAUACUGCCGUGAAUACGUUCCCGGGCCUUGUACACACCGCCCGUCA
rnacentral:rRNA from 1 species